GGAGGAAGGAAGUGGCUAGAAGCUAAUGCACAAUGAAACAUGUUCCCCUGGAGACAGAUAAUUUCUCCAGCCAUACAUAAUGAACACGUGCCUCUCUGUGUGUUGCCCCUGUACUGUCACAGUCACUUACAUUCUGCAAGAAUCUCUCCAUGUCUACACCGCUUGUGCAAGGUUGGAAAGAAGGUCUGAGCUCUCUGAGAACCAUCUUCCCAACCCAGGCAGGAAAACAGAAAAGUAAAAACCUCUCUCGUAAGAGGAACAGGGUCAGGGCCACCGCUGUUCAAAUGUGGGAGGUCGCAGGGUGAAGCACAAACUCCCAGGAAGGCUGAGGAAUAGCAGCUGCUGCAGGUAAAAGGAAAGUUGUUGGCCGGGUUGCCACAUAAGCAGGGGUGCUGCUGGGGUGAAAAC
rnacentral:lncRNA from 1 species